rnacentral:rRNA from 1 species
AUUGAACGCUGGCGGCAUGCCUUACACAUGCAAGUCGAACGGCAGCACGGGUGCUUGCACCUGGUGGCGAGUGGCGAACGGGUGAGUAAUAUAUCGGAACGUACCUUAUCGUGGGGGAUAACGCAGCGAAAGCUGCGCUAAUACCGCAUACGCCCUGAGGGGGAAAGCGGGGGACCGUAAGGCCUCGCGCGAUUAGAGCGGCCGAUAUCUGAUUAGCUUGUUGGUGGGGUAAAAGCCCACCAAGGCGACGAUCAGUAGCUGGUCUGAGAGGACGAUCAGCCACACUGGGACUGAGACACGGCCCAGACUCCUACGGGAGGCAGCAGUGGGGAAUUUUGGACAAUGGGGGCAACCCUGAUCCAGCAAUGCCGCGUGAGUGAAGAAGGCCUUCGGGUUGUAAAGCUCUUUUGUCAGGGAAGAAACAGCAGCUAUAACACAGUCUGCGAAUGACGGUACC